ensembl:lncRNA
ACACACGGAUUAUGCAAGGGAGUAGCAAGACUUCAUCAGCAUUUCUAACAGCACUUGGAAGAAUCCUGGAUAAAAGGCGCUACAACAUCCAUAUUCUUAGCCAGAAAUAAGAAGAAUGGGGGAAGGGCGAGGCAAUGUAGAAAUUCAUUUUGCUAAUAUAAGGCCAAAGCAAAAAAUAAUCUCCAUGAAUGGACUCUACCAGGGGCUUCUAUCUGACAAGCCACAUGAAAUAUGAGAAGCUGCUAAAAUGGGAUGGCAAGCUUAUCUGGGAGGAAAUGAGCAGAGUGUAUAUCUGGCUGUCACCAAGAGAGGAAAGUGCCAAGCCCAUAUCUACUCCCAGCACGAGGAGCCGUUGAGCUGCCCUGAAUGACAAUAGCUCUCAUCAGAGAAGGACACAAAGUGCCUGAGGAGUGAUAAAAAAGCAGCCAAGCUUUUCAUUUUCCUAAGUGCAUCCACUCAUUAUAUUUUCCUUUAAAAACAUCUUUUGACCAAUUUUAAUGCAGAUGAGAAAUUGCCAGAUUGACAGCCCCGGAGACUAAAGACCUUCCUCAUUAUCUGUAGCUUAGACAAGGGCAAGAAAUCAUUCCUCAAGCUCUCUCUGCUCUGGCAACACGCCUUCUGGCCAGCUGGAUAUGAACUGGAGGGUAGGGAGCUCUUUCUGAACACAAGCUAAGCUCUUGACCCCUGUAUGGAUCUACCUGCUAGCCAGCUAAGACUGUAGCCUGCAAGAUGCGUGGAACAGGAUUGUACAGAGGAUAAUCUUCUAAUUUUAUAUUACAGAAUUAGAAUCCCUUGAGCAAUGUGCACUGAUUGGUGGAAUGCAUAUAACAGGAGGCAUAGAGCAAAGAGAAUAAACACAGUAUAAGUUGUCAUCUCACACAGUGAGCUGGAUUCCUACCUUUUGUCCAGGAGAAGUUUAAGGGGAAAAACACAUCCCAUCAGCUGCUGGAUGACGACUUGAGUCUGAACUGAGCAGGAUCCGUCUGUCCUUUGCACAUGCCAGGAGAGGAGCUGAUUGUAUACAAGGCAGAGAUUUUUCCUCUAAGAAACAGCUGUGCCUUUCUAUUUUCUUUUGAGGUACAGCCUUACCUUCCUCUAGCUCUUACGGAGUUUUGAACCUGCAUGGAACUGUGGUAGAGUUUUUCUAUUUUCAUUCAGCAGAAUUCAGCAGGAGCUGAGAAGUUAUGCUUUGUACCAAGAUGUCUCCUAUCUGCCCUGAUCACAGAGGUCUUACCACUGCACAAGGCAGCAGCUCCUGGCUCCUGCUGAGUUAGGAACCAUAAUCCCCAUCCAACAAUGAUAUUUCACAUCAAAUACUGAAGAAGACCUUGUUGUUUUGCUUUGGUUUUUUUUUCCUACUAAUUUAAUAAUCAACUUUCCUAUUCAAAUAGCUGUGUUGAAACAAUUGAGGAGCUAACUUCACCUAGCCCUUCUCUGGUAAACAAGGGCACUGUUUUUCAAAGGUUUACCUGGGGAGAGGGGAAGAAGGGAUGAUUACCUGAGUUAGAAACACAAAGCCACACUUUUUGUAGCAGUGAUUGGUAUUAUUGUUGUAUCUGUUUCCACAGAUGUUAUUAAUGUUCAGUAAUUAUUAAAGUUAAUAUAAUGGUAUUAUUGUAAUGCUAUUACAUAGCAUAGCAGUAUUAUUCUAAUAAUUAUUAUAUUAUUAGCAAAUUCUGACAUCCUUGUUUUCUUAGCUGGCUAUACCUGCAAAUACAUAUUCAAUG